UCCUUGCCGAAAGGGGCUCUAGAUUUGGAGCUGUCAAUUCGGCAGACGCAGCGAGCCGUCGCUUAUCGAGCUGCAUCUUGUACAGAACAUCUGGCGGAGCAGCUUCAAAGCGGCGGGGGGGGAAAGUUGCGCAGGUAACAACACGUUCUUCGCCGCAUCGCCAGACCGCGAUCGACGCAGAUCCGGGCAGCUGCUGCCUCCGAGCUAGGCACCGCUUGCCGCUCCCUCCCCACGACGCUCCGGCAGGACCCCACCGCGCCACCAAACGCGAGAGUCGGAGAGCGAAGCGCACGAUAUGAUGAUAGAAUCGCUUCUUCCCCAGGAUCCCCGCAUAGGAACACCGCGGUGUUUCACCCCGGUUUGGACCAAGCCCCUGUCACGAAAUAAACAGAUUGCUUCUCCGUUUGGG